rnacentral:lncRNA from 11 species
AUUCUCUGCCAUUUUUAACUUCUGGCGUGAUCUCUUAAAGAAACAUGACUGGUAAACAGAAUAUUGUGGAUCAUUCCUAAAGCUCCAGCCUAAGGAAGGGAGGAAGGAGAAGCCAAAGAGAGAGAAAAGGAGCCCAAGCAACAACGGGAGGAAAAGGAGGUGAUUUAUCAACACACGAUUGGUGGUUCUUGCAGAAGUUGAGGCAGCAAGAGGAAAGCUUUGUCCCUGGCUUCAGGUAAGAUUUGGCUAAGAUUUGGUCAAGAUUGGAAACUGAGUGUGGGCUUGGCUUCUGUGGUCAAAGUCUAACUGUUGUGUGACUGUUGUAUUGAAAGAGAGCCAGUUACUUAAGUUGA